CAGAGAUGUUGCUAGCCCAAUGAUCAGCCUUGCUACAUGUCUCUCAUACCAUGAGGCUGAAUUAUUAAAUGGGCCAGAAUAAAUAUUAUUGUUGCAAGCCCAAACAAAUGCUUUCUUAUGUGCUCUAUGCUUGAUUCGAAACAAAUUUUAUCAGGAAAGCAAAUGUUAUUAAUUGGGCCAGCUUUAA